rnacentral:tRNA from 1 species
GGGCGGUUAGCUCAGUUGGUUAGAGCACCAGCUCGACAAGCUGGGGGUCGGAGGUUCGAGCCCUCUACCGCCCA